GCAGCUCCUGCAAUUGAAAGACAAUGUUUAGAUUUAGUUUGGACCAACAAAGACAAUCGUCAUAGCAAAGCAUGCACAGUGUGAUGUGUUAGCUGGUAACAGGCCCUGGUUGAAACAAGAAGGAGCUCGUCCAUCAUCCUCUGCUUGUCUUGGAUCUCUGAGGCGGCUGAGCUGCUUGUGGUGGUUCUCCAGCUGCUCCUCCAGAGUUUUGUGGAGAUGUAUAAACAGAUUAGAGACAAUACAAAGUGUGUUUGUGUCCUCACCUUGAUGUCCUCGUCUCCAUCAUGUCUCUCUCUCUCCUCCACCUCUUGGCUCUUCUGGUCGUAGUUGACGGCGAGCUCCUCCAGCGCCUGCAGCACCUCCUUCACCUCCUUCACCUCCUCCUUCAGCUGGUUCUCCGUUUGCAGCCGGCACAGCUCCUCUUGGGAGGGACGUGGGGUCAGAUCUAUUCUUGUCAUCCAGCUGUUUGUACAGGUUGCUGAUGUCCUCCUCGUAUUUGCUCCGCUCGUUGCAACAAUAUAUUAUUUCUUUCACAAAGGUCAUUGCUGAGUUACUGGAUGCCUGCAGGUUAGCGUCUGAAGUGUACCUGUAGGUCUGUCUUCAUGAGCGAGGCUCCUGCUUCAACCAGAUAAUGACAGAUAGUUCUUUGACACAGGGACGCAGCUCGGUCUCCCCCCUGGUCAACAGAAAAGAGAGAGAGAGACAACAUCACCCGAGGAACAGACAUCAACCCCCCUGCUGCUUCUUUUGGUGUCUUGUGUUUAUGAUGGCACAUAUAUCAUCACAUAUAGACUGAACAGAGAUCAGAGCACAGAUACAGGAACAGCAUCAUCAUCUACACUCUGUUAACAUUUAAAUAAAGUGUUUAACAUUUUAAAAACCU